UUCUUAUUAUUUGAUUUUCAUUUUAUUUGUUUUAUUUUCAUUAAUUCAUACUAGUUUUAAUAUUGAGCCAAAAUAUAUGAGAGUUUCACCAAAAAUUUUAAAAUAAAUUCAUCUUUUAUUUUCUGAAUUAAAAUUUUUUUUGGAUCAUUAUUAAUAUUUUUCAUGAUUUAAUUAAUUUUUUUGAAUAUUUUUAAUUAUUUAAAAAU
rnacentral:lncRNA from 1 species